GGGGAUGUAAAGGCUUCGACAGAGGUUUUGCAGGUGGUGAAGCUAUCCGCAGGCGAUGCGUUAAAUGGCAAAAAAUAAAUAUAAACGCUGAAGAAAAUUUAGCAAUCGCUGCCUAGUUGCAGCUGUCUUAACCUAGUUUCCUACAACUAGGAUUAAGGCAUCGACUCAGUAGGGAACAUUAUUAGCAAAGCUUUGAGCUGGUAAUAGAUUUAUGAAGCUACUAAAUUCCAUUGGGUGUUAGUUCUCGGUGGGAGGAGGGAAUGUACAAUAACUGACUAUGAUAGUAGAAGAACAUUGAAUGGGCUUUUGGACACGGGUUCGACUCCCGUCAUCUCCAUCA
rnacentral:tmRNA from 1 species